UUUUUUGCCUGUGGCUUUGUUUUGCGCAGGCGUUGUACCAGUGCAGGAAGAGAAGAAGAAGAAGAAGAAGGGAAACGCAGGACAAGGUCGAGCGUCAGUGUCGUCGUAGGCAGCGGUGAUUAAUUAACGUCGACAUCGUGGCGGGCGGGCGAGGCACCUCGAAUGUUCGGUGGUCGCUCCUCUCAGCUCCGCGCGUGCACCCACCCAGACGCGCGCGGCAGGCAGCAGCAGCAGGAGGAUCUAGGUUGUCGGAAACAGGGACGAGCCUCGGCACGCGGCCCGCCUCCCUGCGCGCUGCUACCGGUGGCCGGCACCCGAGGGCGAGGAGGAGCAGGAGCGGCGGGAGGACCAGCCCGAGCGGAGGCGGAGGGGGAAGUAGAGGCUGCCGCACAAGGUCCGCCCGCGGCCUAGAUGAUGCCCCUCCUGGAACGACGUCCGGUUCUCCCUAACAGGACACUUGAAGCUCAAGGUUUUGAUGUGGCAGUAGUGUUCGUCCACGUUUCCCGGUUUUAUAGGAGGAUUUCUGACGACACUAAGAAAGUUCCUUAAACGUACGGGUAAAUUAUUGAUGUAGUUACUACUUUCGUUACUGACACGUAGGUGUUACAAGUCGAUGUAGUUGGAGAUACCGUUCAUGGGUGGUCCGGACAAACGGGUGCUCACGGCUCUUCCGUUCGAUCCAGAAAGAACGCUUCCGCAGGGGGUCUUUCUGCAGCAAUUUUCACCACAGGUUUCCCGAGCUUCGUCGAGCGAACGAAACUAAUGAGAGUACACACCUGAUCAUCGUAACAAGAAGGUUAUCUGCCACGGCACCACCACCACUAUGGAAAUAAAGAGGGUACAAAAAGUUUACUACAACUCGGACUUAGGCGACGACGAGGAAUUCCGCGAGAACUUUAAAAGGAAGAACGUUAUAGAACAUUAAACUUCGAUACAGUCUAAUGUAUAAGAAACCUUAGAGUGGACCAACGGUUGAAUCUUAAGUGACUAACAGUGACAUAGUAUGGAGAGUGUGACAUAAUACAGAGUGAGCACAUAUUACUACUGUUGAAAAAGAAAAACCAGUGACCUUUCUCAAACCAACAUACACUUAGUAG
rnacentral:rRNA from 1 species